UGUCCAUAUCAUGUUCAAACACCAGUCCCCAUACAAUCACCAAAGUUAAGCAAUGUCGAACUUGGUCAGUACCUAGGUGGGUUACCACUUAAGAAUACUAGGUGCUGUAAG